rnacentral:rRNA from 1 species
GAUGAACGCUGGCGGCGUGCCUAAUACAUGCAAGUCGAGCGAACAGACGAGGAGCUUGCUCCUUCGACGUUAGCGGCGGACGGGUGAGUAACACGCAUGUAACCUACCUAUAAGACGGGGAUAACUUCGGGAAACCGGAGCUAAUACCGGAUAAGAUUUCGAACCGCAUGGUUCGAUGGUGAAAUAUGGCUUUGCUAUCACUUAUAGAUGGACCUGCGCCGUAUUAGCUAGUUGGUAAGGUAACGGCUUACCAAGGCAACGAUACGUAGCCGACCUGAGAGAGUGAUCGGCCACACUGGAACUGAGACACGGUCCAGACUCCUACGGGAGGCAGCAGUAGGGAAUCUUACGCAAUGGGCGAAAGCAUGACGGAGCAACGCCGCGUGAGUGAUGAAGGUCUUCGGAUCGUAAAAAUCUGUUAUUAGGGAAGAACAAACGUGUAAGUAACUGUGCACGUCUUGACGGUACCUAAUAAGAAAGCCACGGCUAACUACGUG